rnacentral:rRNA from 1 species
UGAGUAACACGUGGGCAACCUGCCCUUUGCACUGGGAUAGCCUCGGGAAACCGAGGUUAAUACCGGAUACUCCAUAUUUGUCGCAUGGCGAAUAUGGGAAAAGCUCCGGCGGCAAAGGAUGGGCCCGCGGCCUGUUAGCUAGUUGGUGGGGUAGUGGCCUACCAAGGCAAUGAUGGGUAGCCGGGUUGAGAGACCGACCGGCCAGAUUGGGACUGAGACACGGCCCAGACUCCUACGGGAGGCAGCAGCG